rnacentral:rRNA from 1 species
UACAGGGGGUGCAAACGUUGCUCGGAAUUAUUGGGCGUAAAGCGCGCGUAGGCGGCCACUUAAGUCGGAUGUGAAAGCCCCUGGCUCAACUGGGGAAGUGCACCCGAAACUGAAUGGCUUGAAUGCAAAAGAGGGUCGCGGAAUUCCCGGUGUAGAGGUGAAAUUCGUAGAUAUCGGGAGGAACAUCGAUGGCGAAGGCAAUCACCUGGGCCUGAACUGACACUGAGACACGAAAGCGUGGGUAGCAAACAGG